GGCUACGGCUGGCGGCGUGUCUUAGCCAUGCAAGUCGAGCGGACUUAUGGGGUAACUUAUAAGUCAGCGGCGGACGGCGGAGUAACACGUAGCUAACCUACCCUCUGGACGGGGAUAACCUACCGAAAGGUGGGCUAAUACCCGAUGUAGUCAUCCUGUAUAGGGGUGAUGAAAGGUGGGCUUCUGUUUACAAGCUCAUGCUGGAGGAGGGGGCUGCGGCCUAUCAGGUAGUUGGUAGGGUAAUAGCCUACCAAGCCGAUGACGGGUAGCCGGCCUGAGAGGGUGACCGGCCCGAGGGGCACUGAGAUACGGGUCCCACUCCUACGGGAGGCAGCAGGCUAGAAAUUUGGGCAAUGGGGGAAACCCUGACCCAGUGACGCCGCGUGCAGGAAGGAGCCCUUCGGGGUGUAAACUGCUGUCGUGUAGGGAGAAGGGUACUAAGGUGAACAAUCUUAGUACUUGACGGUACUACAGGAGGAAGCCCAGGCUAACCUCGUG
rnacentral:rRNA from 1 species